CGGUGAUGGUUGACAGAUAGAGAAGUGAGCACGCAUAGCUUCGAGCAUGAACCCUCUUCAUGCAGGAAAACACCAUGGGUGCUCACUCUCUUCUGUCAACCAAACUCCA
rnacentral:pre_miRNA from 15 species